GGUGAACGCUGGCGGCGUGCUUAACACAUGCAAGUCGAACGGAAAGGCUCCUGCUUGCAGGGGUACUCGAGUGGCGAACGGGUGAGUGACACGUGGGUGAUCUGACCUGCACUUCGGGAGAAGCCUGGGAAACUGGGUCUAAUACCGGAUAGGACGAUGGUUUCGAUGCCAUUGUGGAAAGUUUUUCGGUGUGGGAUGAGCUCGCGGCCUAUCAGCUUGUUGGUGGGGUAAUGGCCUACCAAGGCGUCGACGGGUAGCCGGCCGGAGAGGGUGUACGGCCACAUUGGGACUGAGAUACGGACCAGACUCCUACGGGAGGCAGCAGUGGGGAAUAUUGCACAAUGGGCGCAAGCCUGAUGCAGCGACGCCGCGUGGGGGAUGACGGCCUUCGGGUUGUAAACUCCUUUCGCUAGGGACGAAGCGCAAGUGACGGUACCUGGAGAAGAAGCACCGGCUAACUACGUG
rnacentral:rRNA from 1 species